rnacentral:tRNA from 1 species
GAGGUAGCUCAGGCGGUUAGAGCGAGGGUCUCAUAAUCCCUAGGUCGUGAGUUCGAGUCUCACCUUCGCCACCA